GAUGAACGCUAGCUACAGGCUUAACGCAUGCAAGUCGAGGGGAAACGAUAGAGAAAGCUUGCUUUUUCUAGGCGUCGACCGGCGCACGGGUGAGUAACGCGUAUCCAACCUGCCCACCACUUGGGGAUAACCUUGCGAAAGUAAGACUAAUACCCAAUGACAUCUCUAGAAGACAUCUGAAGGAGAUUAAAGAUUUAUCGGUGAUGGAUGGGGAUGCGUCUGAUUAGCUUGUUGGCGGGGUAACGGCCCACCAAGGCGACGAUCAGUAGGGGUUCUGAGAGGAAGGUCCCCCACAUUGGAACUGAGACACGGUCCAAACUCCUACGGGAGGCAGCAGUGAGGAAUAUUGGUCAAUGGGCGAGAGCCUGAACCAGCCAAGUAGCGUGCAGGAUGACGGCCCUAUGGGUUGUAAACUGCUUUUAUAAGGGAAUAAAGUGAGCCUCGUGAGGCUUUUUGCAUGUACCUUAUGAAUAAGGACCGGCUAAUUCCGUGCCAGCAGCCGCCGUAA
rnacentral:rRNA from 1 species